AUUUUUAUUAUUUACAAAAAAAUAUAAAUAUUAUGAGUCCGGCUACAUACUAUACUAUCGAUAGUACCAAACACUUAGUGUUACCAAAUUUUCUUAGAUUUAAUUUUUUGACUAUUUUCAUCUUUAGAUUAUAUUAUUCAACCAAUAAUUUACUCAUCUCUAGUAGGCCCACAUCAACCUAACCGUAUAUUUUUUCAUCCAAAAACCGAAAAUCUAAAAGCACCGAUAGCUUGGUGCUAUUGAUAGUAUUCCAGUCUAGUUCAAAUAUUAUAUAAAAUUCAUAGAAAAUUUGAUUUAGUAAAAUGAGUUGAGCCUCUUGGCCUUUAAAAGUACAUAAGCAUUUAUAUUUAUAAUUUUUAGCCAUCGAAUUAUUUUAAGACCUGUAUAUCAUUUUUAACGGUAUGUUUCAAUAGGCCUUUUUUACUUGUGCUGAUGCUGUAAAAAUCUUGAGAUGAUAUGAUGGCUACAAAAUCAUAAGUACAUUGAGCUUUUAUGCUUUAAAUAAAAAAGCGCGGGAGCUCAAUCUCGAUAAAAAUAUAUUAAGCUUACCACAACCAUUACCUAUUAUAAUCUUAUGAUCUUAUUAUGAGACAACCGUUAUGCUCUAAAAGUUUAAUAUAUCUUUGUAUUUAAUAUUCUCGAGACUUUUUUUUGCAAGGCUCAUUACGUGAACUUAAAUUAGAUAGAAAAAAAUUAAUAAUACUAGGAGUCUGAUAUGACUCAAAUAUAGAAUCUCCUGUUCUAAUACUAUAUAAAAUAGCCGUUGUACUCAAAAACUUUAAACUGUUAGAAAAUAUGGUUUAUAUUUUUUUAUAUUUAACAGUUACUAUCUAACUUUUAAAACUUUUGAUUUUACUAUCUAAUCUUUUAAUUUAUUUGAUCCGA
rnacentral:lncRNA from 1 species